rnacentral:tRNA from 1 species
GCUCCAUUAGCUCAGCUGGUAGAGCACUCGACUUUUAAUCGAGUGGCCGUGAGUUCAAAUCUCACAUGGGGCA